GGCGCAUCGAGGCUGCCGCAUGCUCGCCACGCGGUGGCGAGGCUCUGCCGGCGUGCCACGGCGCGCGGGCACGGCGCGGGCGCUGGCACGGGGAAGGGGAGAGCGCGGGCGGGCUGGGCUGGCUUCGGCCAGCGGGCCAGAAGUGAGGCCGCGGCCUGCUAGCGCCCUCCUUUUCCCUUUUCUAUUUUUUUUGAAUUUCUUUUUUUUUAACUUUUUCUAAAUUCAUUUAGACCACUUUAAAAUCAUUUUCACCUUUUGCCCCAAAAUAAAGAUUGUUCUUAAACAAAAACCCUACAACUUUGCUUUAAGUCGAAUUCACAAAUUCCAAUUAGAUUUUGAAAUACAACUCAAAACUAGUUAUAGGUUUUUAAAUAAAUCUAUUUUAGGAAAUUUAGUAUAAAAUCAAUUUCUCAAUUUCUAUAGCUCCAAAAAUAUCACAAAAUUACUCUUAAAUAUUCUAACACUCAUUUCAACUUAAUUUGGGCAAUUCAAGAAUUUAGAAGCAAGCAUGAUAUUUGUAACAUAUUUAAUUCUCAUAAAAUAAAGCACAUAAAAUCACACUUUGAAUUAUGUUUAUGCUCAUGGGAUGUGAUGCUUAUGCCAUGCUUGAUGAGGAUGCUUAUGAAUGUUUUAUGAGACUAAGUGCAUGCUUAACACCUAGGGUGUUACAAGCACCUCAAAUCCCUCUAAGGCAAAGGAUGCCUCUACUCCCUCCACUAGCCAAGGUUGUGAAAAAUGCUUUAAUCUCGAUUUGAAUAUUUAUGCCACUAACCUUGCUAAUAUGGAGGUCAUGAGAAAGGAGAUUGCUAGGCUCAAUGAAAUUAUAGCAGCAUGGUGCAUGAAUGACAAAACUCA
rnacentral:lncRNA from 1 species